rnacentral:rRNA from 1 species
AAAAAAUUUUGAGUUGCCUUAUGCAUAUUUCUAAUUUACUGUGAACUGUUUUACUGUUUAGCGUUUUGAGGGAUUGCCUAAAGAUUAUAGGGAUAGGUCUUUAGGAUGUUAACCUAGCUAAAGUCAGGCUUAGGCCUGGUAUCCUAAUUCAUUAUUUACCAAAAGAAUUCAGAAUUAAUAUUGUAACAUAAGCGUAAAAAACUUAUAAAACAACUUUUAACAACGGAUCUCUUGGUUCUCGCAUCGAUGAAGAACGUAGCAAAGUGCGAUAACUAGUGUGAAUUGCAUAUUCAGUGAAUCAUCGAGUCUUUGAACGCAUCUUGCGCUCAAUGGUAUUCCAUUGAGCACGCCUGUUUCAGUAUCAACAACAACCCACAUCCACAAUUUUGUUGUGAAUGGAAGUGAGAGUAUCGACGUUAAAAUUGAACUCUUUAAAACUAUUAGGCCUGAACUAUUGUUCUAUUAGCCUGAACAUUUUUUUAAUAUAAAGGAAUGCUCUAGUUAAAAGACUAUCUUGGGGGCCUCCCAAAUAAAUCAUUUUUUUAAACUUGAUCUGAAAUCAGGUGGGAUUACCCGCUGAACUUAAGCAUAUCAAUAAGCGGAGGAA